AUAUAUAUAUAUAUUCAUGCAUAUAUACCACACACACUCUUUCAGGUUUCUUGCAAGUGUGUGUGUGUGUGUGUGUGUGUGUGUGUGUGUGU